GACGGUCAGAAGAAUGCCACCGACCGCCAGCAACAUAACUGCAGUCGCGGUGAUGAUCUGGCAUUGCUGUUGGUUACCCAUGGAUGCCGUGUAUGCGACGCGAUCCAGCGAGGAAAAAUGAUAGCAACGACAUUUGUUGGUGCUCUGGGGAAAUGAAAAUGUGCCACCUAUCACACUGAGCGGUGUAAUCUCUGAUGCCCGCUUUCUGGGUCGUUGAUGCCGGUAAUGCGCUCCUCAGGCCGAUCCAGCACUAGGAAGGCUGCCAAAUUGGCAGUAUAGGAUGCAACUAUAAUCAUAGCAAAGCCAGCCCACACCAUACCUAAAAUCCUCGCUGAAAAGCU